UACGGAGGGUGCGAGCGUUAAUCGGAAUUACUGGGCGUAAAGCGCACGUAGGCGGUCAGGCAAGUCGGGUGUGAAAGCCCUGGGCUCAACCUGGGAAUUGCAUUCGAAACUAUCUGACUCGAGUAUGGGAGAGGGAAGCGGAAUUUCCGGUGUAGCGGUGAAAUGCGUAGAUAUCUGGAGGAAUACCGGUGGCGAAGGCGGCAUCCUGGACCGGCAUUGACGCUGAGGAGCGAAAGCCAGGGGAGCAAACGGG
rnacentral:rRNA from 1 species